rnacentral:lncRNA from 1 species
AGGACUACUACAGACCAGCACAGCAGUACUACAGACCAGCACAGGACUACUACAGACCAGCACAGCAGUACUACAGACCAGCACAGCAGUACUACAGACCAGCACAGGACUACUACAGACCAGCACAGGACUACCUACCGCAGACACUGUAGAGCCCUGGACACAGAGCAGUACAGAGCAUACAGGACUACUACAGACCAGCACAGGACUACUACAGACCAGCACAGGACUACUACAGACCAGCACAGGACUACUACAGACCAGUACAGGACUACUACAGACCAGCGCAGGACUACUACAGACUACUACAAACCAGCACAGGACUACUACAGACCAGCACAGGACUACUACAGACUACUACAGACCAGUACAGGACUACUACAGACCAGCACAUUACUACCACAGACCAGUACAGACCAGUUUGGUGACCAGUGGAACCAGCAGGAUCCUUUUGAUGGGACUCCCAGAACAGAGGGCUGUGACUGGACAGUGAGUGACCCCAUGCCUCUGAGUCCGGCUGCCAACGCUAAGCAUGACCCCCCUGAUCACCCCCGGCAACCAGCCGCUACCAAUGGCAACCAGCCAGGUUCCGCCCUUGCCAGGGACGACGGGAGGACUUCCUCCCCAGAUCCUCCUGACGACGGCUCCGGAAACAGCAUCGUCAUCCGUAUUGGCAUCCCUGACCUGCAGCAGACGAAGUGCCUGCGGCUGGACCCCGAGGCAGCGGUGUGGAG